UGAAUUUGAAAAUUAAUAACUUUUGAUUGCUUUUUUUCCCUUGUGUUCUCAAGAGGUGGAAGGUACUCAGAGGAGGAUGCAAAAGCUAUAGUUAUUCAAAUACUGAGUGUAAUCGCCUUUUGUCAUCUUCAAGGUGUUGUGCAUCGUGAUUUAAAGCCAGAGAAUUUUCUUUUCACCACCAGAGAUGAAAAUGCUCAGAUGAAGUUGAUUGAUUUUGGCCUUUCCGAUUUUGUUAAACCAGUUUACAAAUCUCAAGUACUCCAGAGUUGAAAUUGAUGAAGUGCGGUUCAAGUG